rnacentral:telomerase_RNA from 1 species
UGUUGAAACGGAUUUACGAGUGGGAAAGAUCGCUGUUAAGGCCAAAUCUUCACCGUUGAAACCUAACCCGAAUCUAGUUUUUACGUUCUUUUAAGAACUGUGUUUUAGUCAUUGUGAUGUUAUAUAUAUCGCAAUGAUGAAGAGAAUUUGAAAUUUUCUUACGUUCUUCUGGUUUUCUCGCCCAGCUCGUCUUUAUUAUGGCGAGGAGCGAAGGGUAUUCUCGAUAAGUUCGUUUCUUUUUCUGAUAUUUUACAAGGUAACCUGAUUUUUU